CAGUGCAACAUAUAAAAGGGCAC
rnacentral:miRNA from 1 species